GACGAACGCUGGCGGCGUGCUUAACACAUGCAAGUCGAGCGGUAAGGCCCUUUCGGGGGUACACGAGCGGCGAACGGGUGAGUAACACGUGGGUGACCUGCCUUUAGCUCUGGGAUAAGCCUGGGAAACUGGGUCUAAUACCGGAUAUGACUCCGCGGUGCAUGCUGUGGGGUGGAAAGCCUUGUGCGGCUGGAGAUGGGCCCGCGGCCUAUCAGCUUGUUGGUGGGGUGAUGGCCUACCAAGGCGACGACGGGUAGCCGGCCUGAGAGGGCGACCGGCCACACUGGGACUGAGACACGGCCCAGACUCCUACGGGAGGCAGCAGUGGGGAAUUGUUCGCAAUGGGCGCAAGCCUGACGACGCAACGCCGCGUGGAGGAUGAAGAUUUUCGGAUCGUAAACUCCUGUCGAAUGGGACGAAAAGAUUGCGGGUUAACAGCCCGUGUCCUGACGGUACCGUUAAAGGAAACCCGGCUAACUCCGUGCCAGCCGCCGCCGUAAC
rnacentral:rRNA from 1 species